ACUCACGCCCUCCCUUGGCGUGCUGCUCGCGAGAGGCGGCUGCCGCCGCUCCACCUGCAUGGCCGGCCGCCCCAUCCUCCGCUCCCCUCGCGCCCCAUCCUCCAGCUCCUCCUCUGAGCCAGCGCCGCUGCCUCCCGGCCUCCUCCCCACCGCCUUCUCCCUCCUGCUACAACAACGGAGGAGACGCGGGUCUCCACGACGGCCGCCAUGGCGCAGCGCAGCGGGGCGAGGCCUCCUCCCUCCCUCCCUCCCUCCUGCUACAACAACGGAGGAGACGUGGGUCUCCAUGACGGCCGCCAUGGCGCAGCGGAGCGAGGCCUCCUCCUCCCUUCCUCCCUUGCUCGAUGCACCAGCCAUGGAGGAGCUCUAACCUGCUUCUUGCGUCUGCAGGUGACGGUCCGCGAGCGUACCCGGCGCGAGGAGCUCUCCGCGGCGCAGGUACGGCAUCGGGGAGGCAAGGAUGACGAGAUGGUGGUCGCUUUCCCGGAGUUACUGCUGCCAGUGAUCUACGACCCCCUCCCCGAGCAGUUGGCGUUGUUCUCGACCUGCGCCUGCCGGCCACCAUUCAGUACAGCUGCAGCCCGCCAUAUCCCCAACCUAUUGCUCCCGGUGAGCUCCCUAUUUUCCUCCUCCCUCUAUUAUUGCAAAAGAAAAAUUGAUGUUGAAUGUGUACGAGUGCAGCGAUAGCUUCUGCUGAACGUCCUCUCAGUUUUGUAGAUCUCAUUAGCUGAAUAUGACCUCUAAUACAAUUUGCAUAUGGUACCUAUGCCUCUGGAACGGUGACAAAGGAUAUGCUUAUAAUUGUGAAGAAUCACAUAAAGUUCAGAAGCUUCAGGGUGGUACAUCCUCAACAAAUGUUUCAUCUGAAUCAGGAGUGAAAGAAGGGAAGCUCCUGCUAACUAAGGAUUCUUUAGACAAAAUGCUGAAGGAUAUUACCCAACCUUUGGCCAAGUGUCAAAUGUUGUAAGUGAUUCUUUAGAUAAAUUCAUACAGUAGGUUGGUUUCUUUUCCUACUAGAUGAGUUCAUACGGUAGGUUGGUUUCUUUUCCUACUGUCGUGUUGUUGCUUUGGAGCUGAUGUGCAGCUCUUCCUACUAGAUGAGUUCAUCCUACUCUUCCCUUGUCUCUGUGUUGUUCAUUUACUCAAUUAAGUGACUUCCCGUCUCGAGUCACUAUGAUUGCUAGCUGAUGUAGGCAAGACAGUAAGAAGUCAAUUAAAAAUGCCGAGACUCAAGCUUCAGGAGCAAGUAUGGGGAUAUAUCAUGUCAAUGGAGCACCCGUUGGUUUGUUGGAAAGACCAAAUUGCUCUAGAAUUUGCUUGCUUUUAUAGCAUAGAAGGCGAUCGGGUGAAAAUGAUUGUACCCAUCAAGUAAGAAAAAGUGGUUUGAAUGGUGGUUCAGAUGCUGGAAGCAUGAUAGAAGCAAUUGUUGAUCUUUCGAUGAGUGAUGAGCUGCAAGGUGCAAGAGGGCUAGUGGUUAUAGCUGAACUUGAAGCUCUAUCAAAACUGACGGUCAAGAUUCUUCUCGAGCUCGAUAAUAUUCAGAUUUUGAUGCAUCAACAGUUAUACUCGAUAAGAUAGGCUGUGGGAGUUUAGUCAGGCCAUAGCUGCUGCCCCUGGGUAAUAUGCCAAAGCUACAACGUCGGUGUGGCUGAUCUGUAUGCUGGCAACGAGGAGUCAUCCGGUGGGCAAGAUCAAAAAUCCCAAACCAAUUUGAACAUCUUUUUUUCUUCAGGAUAGGAUGGGGAACAAGUUUGACCACGUGGGCCUCCUGACUCGUGGUUAAUAUCUCAAUCCAUACUAUAAAAAGUUAGAAGCUUGGUCAGCUGCUAGGCGCGACGAAGACGAGCCGAAGGCGGAGCUGCGUCGGCCGUCGCACGCGAAGAAGAUGGUGGGGAGGAGGCGAAGCAGUCGGCCAGGGAUUGGGGCGG